UACAGAGGUCUCAAGCGUUGUUCGGAUUCAUUGGGCGUAAAGGGUGCGUAGGUGGCGCUGUAAGUCGGGUGUGAAAUUUCGGAGCUUAACUCCGAAACUGCAUUCGAUACUGCGGUGCUUGAGGACUGGAGAGGAGACUGGAAUUCAUGGUGUAGCAGUGAAAUGCGUAGAGAUCAUGAGGAAGACCAGUGGCGAAGGCGGGUCUCUAGACAGUUCCUGACACUGAGGCACGAAGGCCAGGGGAGCAAACGGG
rnacentral:rRNA from 1 species